rnacentral:rRNA from 1 species
AGUGAACGCUGGCGGUAGGCCUAACACAUGCAAGUCGAACGGCAGCACAGUAAGAGCUUGCUCUUACGGGUGGCGAGUGGCGGACGGGUGAGGAAUACAUCGGAAUCUACUUUUUCGUGGGGGAUAACGUAGGGAAACUUACGCUAAUACCGCAUACGACCUACGGGUGAAAGCAGGGGAUCUUCGGACCUUGCGCGAUUGAAUGAGCCGAUGUCGGAUUAGCUAGUUGGCGGGGUAAAGGCCCACCAAGGCGACGAUCCGUAGCUGGUCUGAGAGGAUGAUCAGCCCAAAUGGAACUAGGACACGGUUCAGACUCCUACGGGAGGCAGCAGUGGGGAAUAUUGGACGAUGGGCGCAAGCCUGAUCCAGCCAUACCGCGUGGGUGAAGAAGGCCUUCGGGUUGUAAAGCCCUUUUGUUGGGAAAGAAAAGCAGCAGGUUAAUACCCCGCUGUUCUGACGGUACCCAAAGAAUAAGCACCGGCUAACUUCG